CUAAAUGACUCUCGGCAACGGAUAUCUCGGCUCUUGCAUCGAUGAAGAACGUAGCGAAAUGCGAUACUUGGUGUGAAUUGCAGAAUCCCGUGAACCAUCGAGUCUUUGAACGCAAGUUGCGCCUGAAGCCAUCAGGUUGAAGGCACGUCUUCCUGGGCGUCACGCAU
rnacentral:rRNA from 1 species